AAAAGAAAUCAGAGCUCUUUCUCUUUCUGCCAUGGUGAGGACACAGCAAGUAGGCAGCCAUCUGGAAACCAGAAAGAGAGGCCUCAACAGGAACUGAAUUGAUCAGCACCAGGACCUUGGACAUCCCUGCCUCAAGAACGGUUCUUUCCACCAUACUAUGCACCUUACACAAUGAACACAGCAUCCUUUAUGGUAUACAAACUCAAGACCUCCAGACUAUGAGAGUGAAGAAAAACCUCUGGGAGGCAGCCAAUACAAAAGCAGAAGACCUGGAUCAAUCUUGACUGAGACUAGAAGACUGAAUCUCCAUGCAUAGGACUCGGCCCAAUAUCUAACCUCACGGAGCUCGCUGUCGAGUACAGAAGACAGUCACUGAAAUGGAAGGCGUGUCUUGGUAAAAGCACAGGUACGAUGGAAACACGUACCUAACCCAGUCGUCGG